UACGGGGGGGGUAAGCGUUGUUCGGAAUUACUGGGCGUAAAGGGCUCGUAGGCGGCCAACUAAGUCAGACGUGAAAUCCCUCAGCUUAACUGGGGAACUGCGUCUGAUACUGGAUGGCUUGGAUUCGGGAGAGGAAUGCGGAAUUCCAGGUGUAGCGGUGAAAUGCGUAGAUAUCAUGAGGAACACCGGUGGCGAAAGCGGAUACCUGGAAGAUUCCUGACUCUGAAACACGAAAGCUAGGGGAGCAAACGGG
rnacentral:rRNA from 1 species